AUUGAACGCUGGCGGCAGGCCUAACACAUGCAAGUCGAACGAGUGGCGGAAGGGUGAGUAAUGUAUGUGACACUGCCUGAUGGAGGGGGAUAACUACUGGACACGGUAGCUAAUACCGCAUACCAUCGGAUGUGCCCAGAUGGGAUUAGCUCGUAGGUGGGGUAACGGCGCACCUAGGCGACGAUCCCUAGCUGGUCUGAGAGGAUGACCAGCCACACGGGAACUGAGACACGGGCAAGACUCCUACGGGAGGCAGCAGUGGGGAAUAUUGCACAAUGGGCGCAAGCCUGAUGCAGCCAUGCCGCGUGUAUGAAGAAGGCCUUCGGGUUGUAAAGUACUUUCAGCGGGGAGGCGUUACCCGCAGAAGAAGCACCGGCUAACUCCGUGCCAGCAGACGCGGUAAUAC
rnacentral:rRNA from 1 species